UAGGCACCCCUAGCUAAGUAGCUAUACCUACCCCCAGCAAAAGAAAAAUGCCACUUUACAGUAUAAACAGUACACAGAUGUUUAGCAAAGGAAAAGCUUGUGCUUGUGUUUUGUUUUAUUUUAUUCCUUUUUUUUUUUUUAAUUAGAGGAGAUCAAGAGGGCAAAAACCAGAAUAAGCAACAGAAAAACGAAGGAAACUACGAACUCCUUAAAUAUCCUACCAGAGGAAACUCAGGCAGGCAGCACAGAGGAACUUGAGCAAAGUCGACAGUCAUUUAAAGUCCAUAUUGUCGAAAGCGAAAUUCGCUGCCUCCCCUUCAAUCUGCUCUGCUGGCCUCCCAAGGCCUGCUUCAAACAAUAUUUCGACUUCUUUGGAUGAUUUCCAGCCUUCCCACAAACAAUUUGCUCUAGUAACCCUUAUUUGGAGCGGAAACCCUAAAUUAACCUUUUGUUAACCGGAACCUCGAGAGGCUGAAGAUAUCCCGUGAAUGAAUAUUCAAAGUGUUGAAUGCUCAAUAUAUAUAAAGUUGAGCGUCGCCCAGCCUAGCUCACCUGGGCCUCGCCAGGUGAGCAACAGCACCUCGCCUGGGCCAGGCAAUGCCAGCAGCACCUCGCCUGUCUCACCUCACAUGGAUUGCCAGGCAGCUCGCCUGGGUCAGCCGGUGCAAUUCACCGGAACUCGUUCAAAGUGAGCUCCACGUCUCAUGGUUGGUCUCGUCAUGGUCUCCAUCAUAGCUUCACAUGAGCUUCAAGGUCUCAAACGUCGCUUUAUGUUCUUUAACAUAACGCCAUAUCAGCUCUACAUCCAAUGAUCUUCAACAUAACUCCAAUAUAACCUCACAUGAGCUCCACGUCUCCAACACAACUCCAUGUCUUCAUAUAAAAAAAAUCACAUGACUUCAUAAAUAAUCCAAAUCAUUAAAAUUACAAGUGCUAAGGUUUUUAUAUGAUGAAAAUUAUCAUUUUGUUUUAUGUAUGUGAAAAAGUUAUUACCUACACUUGCAUUUGCAAUACCUCUAUAGUUGUCACCUGAUGUGACUAAGUAUAUCUCUCAUGAGCACAAUGCAUUUAUUUUUAUUUUUCACCUAUUUUGUUGCUCACUUUUGAAAUUUGAAGUCACGCGAGUAUCAAACUUUUAAAAUUUAAAGUCAGCAACACCUUGUUUGGGCUUUUAGGCAAGGUGAACAUCAUCUUAUCUGGGUCAAUCAGGAGAGCAACCUGGGGUUAGCCUGAGCAAUUCAACUGACCUAACUUAACAUUUUUUUCCUUUAGCCUAAUUUUUUUCUUUAUUAUUUUACAUGAAUUCUUCUAUAAAAAUAUACAUCUUAUGGUAAUAUAUUUUUUUUAACGGGCCGACAUUUAUUCAUGGAAGUGGAAGACAAAAAACCAUUAUACGAGCUAUGAAAAUAAAGUGUUGUUAUCACCUACGAGUCACCAUAAUUAAGCUUGUGCUACUAACAAAAAACAUGGUACCUUUUUUAUGGUCAAUAGAAGAUAAAACAUCACCCUACAGUUAUAUCAAUGCCAUUUACAUUAGAUAAAUCACCACCUCCCUUGAGCUAGGAGAUAAAAAGCCACAAUAAUCGAUGAUCACCUUUCAGCUGCCCUAAUUAACACCCAUUACUGUAAGUUAAUUUUAAUAAGAGGUCUUACCCUUAAGAUCAGACAAUAUUUAGAACAAGAGAAAUGGACAUUCAUUUUUCUUCUUCAAAUAUCUUUUACCUGCUUAACACUAGCUUGAACAAACAAACUCAAAUUAACUUUAGCAUCAAAGAGUUUGCUUUGCAGGUAACACUCACCAUAAAAAUGCAGCCCAAUCCAUUAUUAGUUGUGGAAAUGCCUAGUGAAUUAUUUGAGGUUUUUUCUAACUUCAUCACAGGGUAAAAAAAAUGUAUACAUUUAAUGGAAUAAACAUUAAGUAUUCAAUUACAACAUAUCAAACAUAUAGAAAUUCUAAAAGACAAAAGUAAGUUGCAAUGGAAAAGUUGGAUAAGGAUAUUAUACUUUUAAAAAUACUAUGCACUUUGAAAUAUUUUCACAUCCUUUGUUUUGAUUAUAAGGAGAAAAUGCCUCUCAUAGGUUAAAAAAAAGCACAAAAUCAAGUUCUUUCUAAAGUUAAUGGAUAAAUCAGGAGAUUGAGUUUAUUAGAUUUAGAUUUCACAAAUACUUUUAAAACAUAUCAUCUUUACAGUUAAUGAAGACCCUUUAAUUAUUAAGUUAAUAAAGGAAAAAGAUUUUUACAGCCAAGAUAGAGUGUAUGUGACGCAACCUAUAGCAUUAAGGUUUCUCAAGCCCUAAAAAUUACAGUCUUGUAAUCUAGAGAAAAAAACUAGAGUUCUCAAACCUUAAAAUUAUAACCCUUAACUAUAGAUGAAAAUUAUAGAGAAACCUUGUAUGUUCAAAAAGGUCUUUAAUUUAUAAAUAUCUUGAAAAAAAUAUCAGGUUAACUGUUUAUAUGGAUGUAAAAAACCAACCUAACAAAAAAA